GCACUGCCUUUGAGCCCAUGUCUCAUCUCCACAUGGUGCCUGGGGUCAGGCCACAGGGCCAUAUGCCAGAGGACAGCUUGUGCAUAACUAUGGCCACCCCAUCCCUCGCAGUGGCCCUUUUAACUGGCAGCAACACUG